rnacentral:rRNA from 1 species
AGCGAACGCUGGCGGCAGGCCUAACACAUGCAAGUCGAACGAAGCCUUCGGGCUUAGUGGCGGACGGGUGAGUAACACGUGGGAGCGUACCUUUUGGUUCGGAAUAACGCAGAGAAAUCUGCGCUAAUACCGAAUGAGCCCUUAGGGGGAAAGAUUUAUCGCCGAAAGAUCGGCCCGCGUUGGAUUAGGUAGUUGGUGUGGUAAAGGCGCACCAAGCCUACGAUCCAUAGCUGGUCUGAGAGGAUGAUCAGCCACACUGGGACUGAGACACGGCCCAGACUCCUACGGGAGGCAGCAGUGGGGAAUCUUGCGCAAUGGGCGAAAGCCUGACGCAGCCAUGCCGCGUGAAUGAUGAAGGUCUUAGGAUUGUAAAAUUCCUUUACCAGGGACGAUAAUGACGGUACCUGGAGAAAAAGCCCCGGCUAACUUCGUGCCAGCCGCCGCGGUAACAC